rnacentral:rRNA from 1 species
GACGAACCGUGCGAACGUUGUUCGGAAUCACUGGGCUUAAAGGGCGCGUAGGCGGGUUCCCAAGUCCGGGGUGAAAUCUUUCGGCUCAACCGGAAAAUAGCCUUGGAUACUGGGAGUCUCGAGGGAGGUAGGGGCAGCGGGAACUUCCGGUGGAGCGGUGAAAUGCGUUGAUAUCGGAAGGAACGCCGGUGGCGAAAGCGCGCUGCUGGACCGCUGCUGACGCUGAGGCGCGAAAGCCAGGGGAGCAAACGGG